AUAUUUUUAUUAAUAUUCAAUAAAUGGCUUUUAAAUCUGUUCUUAUCAGCUUGAUAUCUGAUACGGUUUCCAUCGGAGACCUUCGAUAUUAACCUGAUUUUUGGAACGGGGCGGGAAAGGGGGCUUGCUCCCUCCCCGCCGCGGGUUGCUCUGGCCUGGCACUUAUUGCCAGAGAUAGCCCACCCCCC
rnacentral:snRNA from 1 species